GCAGCAGUAAGGAAUAUUGGUCAAUGGACGCAAGUCUGAACCAGCCAUGCCGCGUGAAGGAUUAAGGUCCUCUGGAUUGUAAACUUCUUUUAUUUGGGACGAAAAAGGGCCUUUCUAGGUCAACUGACGGUACCAGAUGAAUAAGCACCGGCUAACUCCGUGCCAGCAGCCGCGGUAAUACGGAGGGUGCAAGCGUUAUCCGGAUUCACUGGGUUUAAAGGGUGCGUAGGCGGGUAGGUAAGUCAGUGGUGAAAUCCUUGAGCUCAACUCGAGAACUGCCAUUGAUACUAUUUAUCUUGAAUAUUGUGGAGGUAAGCGGAAUAUGUCAUGUAGCGGUGAAAUGCUUAGAUAUGACAUAGAACACCUAUUGCGAAGGCAGCUUACUACGCAUAUAUUGACGCUGAGGCACGAAAGCGUGGGGAUCAAACAGGAUUAGAUA
rnacentral:rRNA from 1 species